GAUGAACGCUGGCGGCGUGCCUAAUACAUGCCAGUCGAGCGAACAGACGAGGAGCUUGCUCCUCUGACGUUAGCGGCGGACGGGUGAGUAACACGUGGAUAACCUACCUAUAAGACUGGGAUAACUUCGGGAAACCGGAGCUAAUACCGGAUAAUAUAUUGAACCGCAUGGUUCAAUAGUGAAAGACGGUUUUGCUGUCACUUAUAGAUGGAUCCGCGCCGCAUUAGCUAGUUGGUAAGGUAACGGCUUACCAAGGCAACGAUGCGUAGCCGACCGGAGAGGGUGAUCGGCCACACUGGAACUGAGACACGGUCCAGACUCCUACGGGAGGCAGCAGUAGGGAAUCUUCCGCAAUGGGCGAAAGCCUGACGGAGCAACGCCGCGUGAGGGAUGAAGGUCUUCGGAUCGUAAAACUCUGUUAUUAGGGAAGAACAAAUGUGUAAGUAACUAUGCACGUCUUGACGGUACCUAAUCAGAAAGCCACGGCUAACUACGUG
rnacentral:rRNA from 1 species